rnacentral:lncRNA from 1 species
CUGUACUCUACUUGUCGUUGUCCUUUAAGCUGUCAGGGGUUUACCUCUGUACCACCAACACCCUCUUUCCUUUCACGUCCCAUUCUCCUGAGGGUGGUAAGCAUAGUUUCAGGGUCAUGUUCAUUCAGUCCCAUUCCCUGGGGUGGUAGAAUAGUUCAGGGUCAUUCGUCCCAUUCCCCUGAGGGUGGUAAGAAUAGUUCAGGGUCAUUCUCCUGAGGGUGGUAAGCAUAGUUCAGUCCCAUUCUCCUGAGGGUGGUAAGAUAGUUCAGGGUCCUUCUCCUGAGGGUGGUAAGCAUAAUUCAGGGUCAUGUUCAUUCGUCCCUCCUCCUGAGGGUGGUAAGCAUAAUUCAGGGUCAUUCCGUCCCAUCCUCCUGAGGGUGGUAAGAAUAGUUCAGGGCAUGUUCAUUCAGUCCCAUCCCCUGAGGGUGGUAAGAAUAGUUCAGGGUCAUUCUCCUGAGGGUGGUAAGAAUAGUUCAGGGUCAUUCGUCCCUUCCCUGAUGGUGUAAGCAUAAUUCAGGGUCCUGUUCAUUCAGUCCCAUUCCUGAGGGUGGUAAGCAUAAUUCAGGGUCAUGUUUCAUUCGUCCCAUUUUCCUGAGGGUGUAGAAUAGUAGGGUCAUGUUCAUUCCGUCCCAUUCCCUGAGGGUGGUAAGAAUAGUUCAGGGUCAUUAGUCCCUUACCCUGAGGGGUGGUAAGAAUAGUUCAGGGGUCAUGCAGUCCCCAUUCCCCUGAGGUGGUAAGAAUAGUUCACG